rnacentral:tRNA from 1 species
UCGGGCCGGGGGCGGUGGGGCGUCGUACGCCGACACCGUGCGCAUCGGUGCCCGUGGCGCCGGUGCCGCCGAUGGCGUCGGUGCCGCCGGAG